UCUAUAGUUAUGUAAUGUAAUGUCUGAGUGAAACAGGAUGCCGUUACUGUAGUUAUAGUAUAAUGCAUCAGCUCUUGCCUCCAGUUUUGUGUGUGAAUAUGCUUCACCUGCAAUGGCCACAUAUUAUGUACAUGUUCACAUAUCACACAUGUAUAAUUUUUAAAGCGAUUAUGAAGCUAAGAUGUUCAUAAUUCAUCAUUUGGAUGAUGUUGAACAUUUUGAACAUCUUAUUUUAGGUUCAAAAACCACGCCAGCUAAUCAGUGCACCCAAAAAUUAAGGGUUUAAUAUUUUUUUUAGAACAUAUUGUUAGGGAAACCAAUGUAAAUUUUUCUUUUUCUUGAUAGAAAGGCUAGAAAUAUACUUUACUCUUGGAAACUUGACUUCAUUUAAUCAAUCAACUGAAUAGUGAAGACUUCUUUUGAACUUUACUGUAACAAGCAGUGUCUCCACCUUAGAAAUUAACAGAAAUGCCAGUCAAGCAAACCAAACCCAAUAGUUGAGGUUGAGGACUUUGAAUUAGAUCUCCUCAACUUAUAACAUUGCUUCUACUAGUGCAACUUUCUGGUGGUGAAACUGGUUUACUAUUUCUUCAUUAAUAUUAUGUUGCAUUAUUUAGUUCGACCGCUGUAUUGUCUGUGGUAUGCUUUGCUUUCUUAUACAGUGGCCCAACUUUCAUAGUCGCAUGACUUGCUGUUUCUCAUGAUUUGUUUCACUUUUUAUAUGAAUUGUUUGUGUUCAGUGUUAGAAGCAAAACUCCAGGCUUCCCCUUGUGGACCUUUUCUGUUCUGGUUGAUGGACCACUUAGAACUGUCUCUGCUGCUGAAUUCAUUUGGAUACUUGUCUUUGUGGUCUUUGUUCACUGGGCUGCUUAUCCUUAUAUACCAAACAAGCCUUGAGAUAUUAUCGGACUGGCAUUAUGACGCCUCAAGGGAGAAGGUACGCUGCCAUGUGGGGCUUCAUUCCAUCUAUCUCUCUCUCUCUCUCUCUAUGUAUAUAUACAUAUAUUUUAAUUACAUUAUGCAUCUAUAUGCUCCUCUUACAGACACAGUGCUUGAGUUUACUAGCUAACUUCAAAAGAAGCUACUAAAUUUGGCUAAUUUUCUUAUUGGGAACGGUUAUCCGUUGCAAGCUCUUCACCUCUGCAAACUUCUCUUUGUUAGGAAAUAAAUGUAGGUGGAGUAUCCAUUUAAUUCCCUCUAUAUAUGAGACUGAUACGAUGGUAAAAUUGCAGAACUUAUUGCCGAUAUUAGUGGUCUACAACCAUUGGGAGAAAAUCUGUAAAUAUAACUGGAAAUGAAUGACUAGACUUCAGUUUCAUGUUUAAGACCUUUAGAAGAAAGAGGCACCACCAAAUAAAAGAAGAUUCUGAAAAUCAUUUACUUACCCCAUGCAGAUAAGAUAGUGGAGAUGUGAUAGUGGUGCUAAUCUCGGUAGGGUAGUUUAUCAGCUAUGCAAUCCGUAUUUUGAGCUUUGCUUCUGAAUCCACCAACUUCACAUACUGAUCGUCAUCUUCUUUGCCCUGCAUACCAUCUUCAUCAAAGCUGCUGGAGGAUUAUUUCUUGCCAUGCUCGAUUGUUUUCUAACACUCUGCCAAUCACAGAGCUGUCAACAUUCUGGAACAAUUUUUCCUUGUUGAAACAGUGAAGCUGUUGCCUUGAAAACUAGAAGUAAGACUAUACAUUGCUAUAUAUCUAUGGCAGCCAUGAAUAAUUCCCUGAGCUUUGGAGUUGAAGAAAAUAUGGUGGCUGCAAUGGCACAGCAAUUCUAGUGGGUCUCAUCUGGAUGGAGAAUGUCAUCCUUUUGGUCCUUGUAAAAGCAAGCUGCUGGCAGCUGGACUGGGCAACUAGACUAAAAUGAUUGGUCUCAUGUAAUGCAACUGUCGCUGAGUCUCACGUAAUAAGAUGCCUUUUCCAUCUUAUUACAGAAUUACAGGCAGCAUCUGUAGAGCAGAGGGGGACAUGUAUCAUAAUAUGGGCAGGCAUUUAAAAUGAUUUUUCAUUCUGUUAAUGGUUGGAAGAGGAGGAAGUUUACAAAUUUUUCUGUCUUUGUCAUUUGUAAGGGCUAAUUGGAAGAAAAAGGCCCGUAGGAAAUAAUUCAGAGAGGACAUUAGGUACUGCAUGCCAUUACAGAUAGGCCCUUAGUUGGAGUGGAAGUUUAGUGCCUUGCUAUAGUCAACAAAUGGUCUUUUCUUUUUAAGUGUCGGUG
rnacentral:lncRNA from 1 species